GACGUAGGGCGCGAGCGUUGUCCGGAUUUAUUGGGCGUAAAGAGCGUGUAGGCGGCCAGGUAGGUCCGUUGUGAAAACUCGAGGCUCAACCUCGAGACGUCGGCGGAAACCCUCUGGCUAGAGUCCGGAAGAGGAGAGUGGAAUUCCUGGUGUAGCGGUGAAAUGCGCAGAUAUCAGGAAGAACACCCGUGGCGAAGGCGGCUCUCUGGGACGGUACUGACGCUGAGACGCGAAAGCGUGGGGAGCAAACAGG
rnacentral:rRNA from 1 species